UACCUUCUAAAGCUAUAGGCAGAUCUGAGGGGAUUUGUGAAGUGGUGUUAUUUACGACACAUACCUCCCACUACCCACUUUUUGGCGGGGAGUGGAAUGGAAAUAUUUAAUGCCUCUCUUUCUUAACAGGAGAGGUAACAACAGGUAAUGCUUUACUAACAUACCGCCGCUACAGCUACAGCCUCCUAGAACUUAAGGUGAAUUUCUCCCCUCCCCGCCUUCGCUCAAGACUUACUGUGGGUUCUAGAAAGUCAGGGAAGAGUGCCAUUGCUGCUGCAGCCUGCAGUGCUCCUGACAUGUUUUAAAACGUGUGACGCUAGGACCUAGCGCUGUUAUUGCUGCCGUAAUGAUCUGGGGUGCCAACGGUUUCCCUUUUUCUAGGACAGAAUGAUCUGAUGCCAGGAAAUACUAGAUUUUAAAAGGACCUUUUCCCUUAGGUAAUUUUCUAGCUGCAGAUGCAGAAUGAUUUUCAGUGGCAAAUUUCCCCCCAGAAGUCCCUGAAAUGGAGUUAUUACGGCUUGGAGGGGAAACAAUUGUUUCCAUUCCCACCGACUCCCUCCGCAAUGUUCCCUUCCCAGGUAAGGGAGUUUAUUACUGGCCAGCAGUGGGCAGAUGGACUUGAGAUCAAGCAAGAAAAAUGCAAACUAAAAAUAAAUUUAGUAUAGAAGGAAAACACGGAAGCGUUCCUGGGAAGGAACUGAAGAAGACCAGAAUGACUGAAGGAAACAUGGGGGCGGCCUGCAUCUCCGGCUAGCUGAGUAGCUGCUAGGAGUUACUACAGCUUUCCCAUCCUCAGUUUCUUCAUCAAUAAAAAAGAAUUAAAAUGAGAAAAUCUUUUCAUGAAUCUUAGGCACAGUGAGCAUCCCACAAAAGAGGUUGAAAAUGAAUUUAUAAAUGGGAGAAAUUUCGAUUGCAGAAUUUCUGGCAUCAGAGACUCAGAGUGCAUUUGAACCAGCCUUAGCUGCUUCGGCUGUCCCACUGGAGGCACAACUUCCAAGUGGAAAUCAAUGCAGGGUGGAGGAGGAGCAAAUGCACAGCCUCCUACAGGCUUGAAGCAUCAUGCAUUUAUUAGAUCUCGCAGUUUAACAAACUCCUGUAAAAGGCAACACUGUGAGGACUCAGGGCACUCUUCAUACCCUUACAGGCUCCAGCUGUGUCCCUCAUCUCCAAUGCCUGUCACCUGUUCUUCCACUUCUUCCCACCUGUGCUCGCAGGGAGGCUCCAGCCCUGGCUCCCGGUCUAUGUUUGGCUUCUGAGAGGCCACAGGAGGCCACCCCCCAGCCUUUUUGACUCAUUCCUAAAUGUUUCCAUGAUUAUCAUAGUCUUGAGUCUUGGAUUGUGAAUCCUCGUAACCGACACAGAGUGGCAGGAUCCCAUGUGGAAUAUCCUAUGGCCAGUCAAACAUCCGGAUACCUCAGCUGGAGAUUGCUGAGAGCUGAUCCUGAAAAAGUGAACUAUUGAUGGAACUGAGGAGGGAAAGGAGAAAUAACUUUGGAGCCAGAGCUCUGAAUGCUUCCUCAAAUUCAAAACUCAGCCUCCCCACUUACUGGUUUUGUGGCUUCAGUGGCAAAAUGUUUGACAUGACGUUGGAAUUUUUUUCACAAUCUAGAAGAAAUCCUUAAUAAAGCUAUCAGAUCCUAGCUGGUUGAGUUAUUUUACAGAAGAUGAGGGCUCAGCUUCUGGAUAUUUGUUAAUGAAUAAUGAAACAUUAGGACUGCACCUUUGCCUCUGAGUAUAAUUUUGGACACAUUCUACAAAUUUUUAUUUUAAAAAAUCGUAUGGUGCUGCAAACAACCUGAAGGGUUUUUCCCCUCAUUUAUUUAAUUGGCUUAUAAUAAAUCUUUAUUUUUUUAAAUACAUUUUGUUUAAACUUUUAUCAUUACUUUUCAGUUAUGCCAUUCAUUGGCUUUGAUGUCAGAGAGCCUUGUAUGUUUAUUUUCAUACACUUGUAAUGUUUUAGUAUUUAAUUUGUCGUCUAAAAUGUGAUUUUUAAAGUAACUAUUUCAUCAGUUCUUAAAAUUAUAUACUCUGUGUUUGGAGGGUAGAAAUUUCUGUAUAAGUAUCUUCAAUUGUGCUUUAUUAACUAUUAUGUUCUGUGUUUAAGGAUGCAAAGUUUGAAAAUAUUUUCUUUUCCAGUUUUUACAAAUUUGUUUCUUUAUAAACUACUCAUCUAUCAAAAAGCUGAAUGUUUCUGUCAAUUUAACCUCGUUUUCAUAAUAGGCUUUAUUUUAUAUAUUUGAGAAAAAAAUACUUCAUGCAUAGAGAUUUAUCAUCAUUAUGGGAUUAAUUUUUAAUGGAAAACUCUUUUCUUUAUCCAGUGUAAUCUGAAGGUUAAAAAUACAUUAAUGAAUUUGGUCUUAUUUUUGUCAUAUUGUUUUAUGGUUUAAAAAAAUUUACACUUGUGCUGUAUCCUUUUUUCUCCUGCUACAUGCACUGUUAUUAAU
rnacentral:lncRNA from 1 species